rnacentral:rRNA from 1 species
AUUGAACGCUGGCGGCAUGCUUUACACAUGCAAGUCGAACGGCAGCGCGGGCUUCGGCCUGGCGGCGAGUGGCGAACGGGUGAGUAAUGCAUCGGAACGUGCCCAGUAGUGGGGGAUAGCCCGGCGAAAGCCGGAUUAAUACCGCAUACGACCUGAGGGUGAAAGCGGGGGACCGAAAGGCCUCGCGCUAUUGGAGCGGCCGAUGUCGGAUUAGCUAGUUGGUGGGGUAAAGGCUUACCAAGGCGACGAGCCGUAGCUGGUCGGAGAGGACGACCAGCCACACUGGGACUGGGACACGGCCCAGACUCCUACGGGAGGCAGCAGUGGGGAAUUUUGGACAAUGGGGGCAACCCUGAUCCAGCCAUGCCGCGUGCGGGAAGAAGGCCUUCGGGUUGUAAACCGCUUUUGUUCGGGAAGAAAUCCUCUGGGCUAAUACCCCGGGGGGAUGACGGUACCGGAAGAAUAAGCACCGGCUAACUACGUG